rnacentral:rRNA from 1 species
GACGAACGCUGGCGGCGUGCUUAACACAUGCAAGUCGAACGAUGACGACCGAGCUUGCUCGGUCUGAUUAGUGGCGAACGGGUGAGUAACACGUGAGCAACCUGCCCUUCACUCUGGGAUAACCUCGGGAAAUCGGGGCUAAUACCGGAUAUGAGCUCCUGUCGCAUGGCGGGUGUUGGAAAGUUUUUCGGUGAAGGAUGGGCGCGCGGCCUAUCAGUUUGUUGGUGCGGUAGUGGCACACCAAGGCGAUGACGGGUAGCCGGCCUGAGAGGGCGACCGGCCACACUGGUACUGAGACACGGCCCAGACUCCUACGGGAGGCAGCAGUGGGGAAUAUUGCACAAUGGGCGAAAGCCUGAUGCAGCGACGCCGCGUGAGGGAUGACGGCCUUCGGGGUGUAAACCUCUUUCAGCAGGGAAGAAGCGAAAGUGACGGUACCUGCAGAAGAAGCGCCGGCUAACUACGUG